AGUGAAGCUCUGGCUGCCCUCGGAGCCAGCAGAGCCACAGCUUAAGUGGUCUGGACUGCUUUCUGCUCUGGACCCCUGGUUCCCUCCUUGUCAUGGAGGAGGGGUGGUAUUCUUCAUUUUUCUCAGUCCUGAGAAGAACAGAGAAGAACAAUCUUUGCAUCGUCCAUCUGCAGCUGUUUACAGCUAAGGGGGAUGCUGUACCAUCUACUGUGUUCCUGUGAGCAGUAAGAGACCUACUGGCUUUCAUGUCGUUUCCAACACUUGGUGGACCUCCUUGCCCAUCUGGCAGAUGAGCUGAGUUCUUGACACACGUCAGGUACCCGACAACACCUGUAACUCCAGCUCCCGGAGUCUGACCCUUCUCCUGGCCUCCCAGGCACCUGUACUAACAUGCCCAUACCCACAUGCAGACACGACUAAGCAAUUCUGUUUGGAGCUAACUUUUGGGGGCAUCAACGGUGUUUGACUCAAGUUUGAACCCAAGAUCUCCUCAGACAUCCUUCAAACAAGUAUCCUCCGAUGAUUCAGAAACCCCACAAACAGAAAUGUUAGCAAAAGACCUAGGAAAGCUGACCUUCAACCAUAGUGCUAUGAAGCUUUCUUCUCCUUGACCAGAAAAGGACAUCAUCAUCACCACCACCACCAUCAUCAUCAUC
ensembl:lincRNA Gm14009 predicted gene 14009